rnacentral:rRNA from 1 species
CUGGCGGCRGCUUACACAUGCNCGUCGAGCGGUAGCACAGGGGAGCUUGCUCCCCGGGUGACGAGCGGCGGACGGGUGAGUAAUGUCUGGGAAACUGCCUGUAUGGAGGGGGAUAACUACUGGAAAACGGUAGCUAAUACCGCCAUAACGUCGCAAGACCAAAGAGGGGGACCUUCGGGCCUCUUGCCAUCAGAUGUGCCCAGAUGGGGAUUAGCUAAGUAGGGUGGGGUAAUGGGCUCACCUAAGGCGACGAAUCCCUAACUGGGGUCUGAAGAAGGGAUGGACCCAGCCCACCACUGGGAAACUUGGACC